AUGCUCAAUCCAACCCUGUGGCUUCUGGUGGCCGAGUUCGUCACGACCAUCAGUUCGGAGACCUGCGUCACUGCCCGUGACGCUACAAUGGCCACCUGCAUCACUGCGUGCUCCGUCAACAGCCUCCUGCACAAGGCAACAGGAGUAGAGACGUCUGAGAUGCUCUGUUCUAGCGAGGUGGCUAAUUAUGUUUGUCAGUUUGAAAUACUUUGGCCACAGUGUACUUAUGUAUCUUUUUCUGGCCGGAGCACAAUCGGAGCUUAUGUCAGUACGAACUUUGAUUGUGAUGGUACUACAGACUCUAUAAAAACACCAGCAAUCCAUUUUUACUGGUACCUUUUAUAUGAUUCACAUGGAUUGUGCCCCUAUUACCAACUGUGGUACAAAAAUGCAUUGUGCUCACCAUUUUAUUUUAGUUCUUCAGUUUGUAAUACUUUAAAGAGAGGAGGUAAAAGUGAACCAUUCAGUUUUGUAUUAUAA
rnacentral:rRNA from 1 species